rnacentral:rRNA from 1 species
UUGAGUGCUAAAAGAAUGGAAUUACAAAAAAAGGCKUUUUUAAUUUUAAAAAUUAAAAUUAUUUUUUUUUGUGAAGAAACAAAAAUUUAAAUUAAAGACAAGAAGACCCUAAGAAUUUUUUUUUUUANUUAAAAUAAUAUNUUUAUUUUAAAAAUUUAAUUGGGGCGAUUAAUUAAUAUUAAAAACUUUAUUAACAAAAAAAANUGAUCCAUUAUUAAUGAUUAUUUGAUUAAAAUACUCUAGGGAUAACAGCGUAAUAAUUUUUGAUAGUUCUUAUAGAAAAAAUAGUUUGCGACCUCGAUGUUGGAUUAGGAUUCUUUUUU